UGGACUUCAUGACUUAGAUUCUGCACUUCACUUGGUGGAAUUAAUAUUUUAGGUCUUAAAAUGUAUAUAUUCUCACUUGGAUUCCAAACCCUAACAUUCUAAUAUUAAUUCCACCAAGUGAAGUGCAGAAUCUAAGUCAUGAAGUCCA